CCUACGGGGGGCAGCAGUGAGGAAUAUUGGUCAAUGGACGAGAGUCUGAACCAGCCAAGUAGCGUGAAGGAUGACUGCCCUAUGGGUUGUAAACUUCUUUUAUAUGGGAAUAAAAUGUUCCACGUGUGGGAUUUUGUAUGUACCAUAUGAAUAAGGAUCGGCUAACUCCGUGCCAGCAGCCGCGGUAAUACGGAGGAUCCGAGCGUUAUCCGGAUUUAUUGGGUUUAAAGGGUGCGUAGGUGGAUUGUUAAGUCAGUUGUGAAAGUUUGCGGCUCAACCGUAAAAUUGCAGUUGAAACUGGCAGGCUUGAGUACAGUAGAGGUGGGCGGAAUUCGUGGUGUAGCGGUAAAAUGCUUAGAUAUCACGAAGAACACCGAUUGCGAAGGCAGCUCACUAGACUGCAACUGACACUGAGGCUCGAAAGUGUGGGUAUCAAACAGGAUUAGAUACCCGAGUAGUC
rnacentral:rRNA from 1 species